rnacentral:rRNA from 5 species
CCCUGGCUCAGGACGAACGCUGGCGGCGUGCCUAAUACAUGCAAGUCGAGCGGAAUGAUGAAGAAGCUUGCUUCUUCUGAUUUUAGCGGCGGACGGGUGAGUAACACGUGGGCAACCUACCUUGUAGAUUGGGAUAACUCCGGGAAACCGGGGCUAAUACCGAAUAAUCCAUUUUGCUUCAUGGCAAGAUGUUGAAAGGCGGCUUCGGCUGUCACUACGAGAUGGGCCCGCGGCGUAUUAGCUAGUUGGUAGGGUAAUGGCCUACCAAGGCGACGAUACGUAGCCGACCUGAGAGGGUGAUCGGCCACACUGGGACUGAGACACGGCCCAGACUCCUACGGGAGGCAGCAGUAGGGAAUCUUCCACAAUGGACGAAAGUCUGAUGGAGCAACGCCGCGUGAGUGAAGAAGGUUUUCGGAUCGUAAAACUCUGUUGUAAGGGAAGAACACGUACGAGAGUAACUGCUCGUACCUUGACGGUACCUUAUUAGAAAGCCACGGCUAACUA